GUGCUUGCUUUCACAGCACGUACACUAAAAUUAGAAUGAUACAGAGAUUAGAAUGGUCCCUGCCCAAUGAUAACAUGAAAAUUUAUGAAGCAUUCCAUAUUAAA